rnacentral:tRNA from 8 species
GGUUGUGUGAUGUAGUGGUUUAGCAUCUCAGAUUUUGAUUCUGAAUACCCGAGUUCGACUCUCGGCACGACCU